rnacentral:rRNA from 1 species
UACGGGGGGGGCAAGCGUUGUUCGGAAUUACUGGGCGUAAAGGGCGCGUAGGCGGCCUUCUAAGUCAGACGUGAAAUCCCUCGGCUUAACCGGGGAACUGCGUCUGAUACUGGAUGGCUAGAGUGUGGGAGAGGGAUGCGGAAUUCCAGGUGUAGCGGUGAAAUGCGUAGAUAUCUGGAGGAACACCGGUGGCGAAGGCGGCAUCCUGGACCACGACUGACACUGAAAAGCGAAAGCCAGGGGAGCAAACGGG